AGUGAACGCUGGCGGUAGGCCUAACACAUGCAAGUCGAACGGCAGCACAGUAAGAGCUUGCUCUUACGGGUGGCGAGUGGCGGACGGGUGAGGAAUACAUCGGAAUCUACUUUUUCGUGGGGGAUAACGUAGGGAAACUUACGCUAAUACCGCAUACGACCUACGGGUGAAAGCAGGGGAUCUUCGGACCUUGCGCGACUGAAUGAGCCGAUGUCGGAUUAGCUAGUUGGCGGGGUAAAGGCCCACCAAGGCGACGAUCCGUAGCUGGUCUGAGAGGAUGAUCAGCCACACUGGAACUGAGACACGGUCCAGACUCCUACGGGAGGCAGCAGUAGGGAAUAUUGGACAAUGGGCGCAAGCCUGAUCCAGCCAUACCGCGUGGGUGAAGAAGGCCUUCGGGUUGUAAAGCCCUUUUGUUGGGAAAGAAAAGCAGCAGGUUAAUACCCCGCUGUUCUGACGGUACCCAAAGAAUAAGCACCGGCUAACUUCGUA
rnacentral:rRNA from 1 species